UCAACUUAGCAGAAUGGUUCCUGAGAGAGAUGUUGUCAUUAAUUGUUUUUUCUUUUUUCUUUUCUUUUUUUUUCAAGAAGCCAAGUUCCUGGCUUCUCCCAAGACUUUCAAGGAUCCAAUUGACCUCUGAAUCAGCUGUUAAGAAAAUGGGACAGUUAUAUUGCUUCAAUUGGUCUCCUACUUCAUUUGAUUCCACCAUCAUUACAAGGCUGCAAGGGAUCUGGAAAAAUGUCAUCCUGUCAAGCUGAAAAACAUCUUCAAAAAGGCACUAACAAAAACAGCUUGAUUGCAGAGAAGAGACCACACAGCCAUACACGCUCACUGAUGGGACGAUGAGGAACAUCAUUCAUGGAUGCUACACAACUCAAAUCUACACGUCAUAUUUGUUCAUGUCUAGGUAAAUUUGAUGAUUUUGUGUUUUAUUAACUACUUUAUGUUUCUGUGCAACACUUAAUGAAUGUGACUGACUAAUUAACCUCUACACAUCUGGUAUAUGCUUUAAAGUUGCCACUUUGCCCAUUUGUUCAAUAAAUGUUGAAAUGUA